rnacentral:rRNA from 1 species
GACGGGGCCGCACAAGCGGUGGAGCAUGUGGUUUAAUUCGAUGCAACGCGAAGAACUUACCUGGGCUUGACAUCCACGGAACCUGCUGGAAACAGUGGGUGCCUUCGGGAGCCGUGAGACAGGUGCUGCAUGGCUGUCGUCAGCUCGUGUCGUGAGACGUUGGGUUAAGUCCCGCAACGAGCGCAACCCUUGUCUUUAAUUGCCAUCAUUAAGUUGGGCACUUUAAGAGACUGCCGGUGUUAAGCCGGAGGAAGUGGGGAUGACGUCAAGUCCUCAUGGCCUUUAUGUCCAGGGCUACACACGUGCUACAAUGGGUGGUACAAAGAGCCGCGAACUCGCGAGAGCAAGCAAAUCUCAAAAAACCAUCCUCAGUUCGGAUUGGAGUCUGCAACUCGACUCCAUGAAGUUGGAAUCGCUAGUAAUCGCGGAUCAGCAUGCCGCGGUGAAUACGUUCCCGGGCCUU